ensembl:snRNA U6 U6 spliceosomal RNA
GUGUUCACUUUGGCAGUACAUAUACUAACAUUGAAAUGAUACAGACCUUAGCAUGGCCCCUGCACAAGGAUAACCAGCAAAUUUGUGAAGCAUUCCUUAUUUUU